UACGAGGGGGGCAAAUGUUGUUCGGAAUCACUGGGCGUAAAGGGAGCGUAGGCGGGUUUCUAAGUCAGGUGUCUAAUCCCGGGGCCCAACCCCGGACAGGCACUUGAAACUGGGAAUCUUGAAUAGUGGAGAGGUCAGUGGAAUUGGGGGUGUAGCGGUGGAAUGCGUAGAGAUCCCCGAGAACACCAGUUGCGAAGGCGGCUGACUGGACACAUAUUGACGCUGAGGCUCGAAAGCAUGGGGAGCAAACAGG
rnacentral:rRNA from 1 species